GUGAUGUUGGUUCCUAGGAAGAAUACAGAACAGUCAAUUCCACGAGUAGUAGUGCUCUUACUUGGACAAAGAAAUUCAGCCUGGAUUAUUUGGCCCUGGACUUCAAUUCAGCAUCUCCAGCCCCUGUGCAGCAGAAACUUCUUUCAGAAGAGCAGAGAGUAGACUAUGUCCAAGUGGAUGAGCAGAAGACACAAGCUCUCCAGAGUACCAAGCAGGAGUGGACCGAUGAGAGGCAAUCCAAAGUGUGAGAGUGCAGGAUGGGGAAUAGGAGGCCUUCAGCCUGCAAGUUGGGAAAGCCGCAAACCCAGGACCGGUGAGGAGUUAAGCUUUUCUUAGGGAAGAAGAAGGUCUGAGAAACACACAGCCUGCCUAUAAAGGCACAAAAAUAGAGUUGGAAUCAGUUGAAUCAUCAUGGCCUGCAGUUCAGUGUCCAAACUUAAGAAGCCCCACAAACAUUCCUCUUUUUAAUGAUCUCCUUAACUGCCCACCCCUGCCCUGUUCAUAGUAUCUCUGUACAUACAAUUGCACUGAUUUUUCAAUUUUAUUUCACUUUUAUUAUUUCAUUUCUGGCAUUAAUAAAAGUUUUAUAAGGAGGAA